UACGUAUGGAGCAAGCGUUAUCCGGAUUUACUGGGUGUAAAGGGAGCGCAGGCGGUCUGGCAAGUCUGAUGUGAAAGGCCGGGGCUCAACCCCGGGACUGCAUUGGAAACUGUCAGACUGGAGUGUCGGAGAGGUAAGCGGAAUUCCUAGUGUAGCGGUGAAAUGCGUAGAUAUUAGGAGGAACACCAGUGGCGAAGGCGGCUGACUGGACGAUGACUGACGCUGAGGCUCGAAAGCGUGGGGAGCAAACAGG
rnacentral:rRNA from 1 species